rnacentral:tRNA from 1 species
GGGGGUAUAGCUCAGAGGCAGAGCAUUUGACCGCAGAUGAAGAGGUUCCCAGUUCAACUCUGGGUGCUCCCUUA